UCAACUUCAAUGAUGAUAUCACUGGGUAAUCCUGUAGUACAAAACCAUGCUUGGCCUUUGGUGGUGGGGUGCUCCGUGUGCGCCAUUUUUCUUCAAUGUAACAAAGAAAGUUGAAACUUCAGUUUAUCUUUCACCAAGGAAGUCGGACUAUGAUAGAUCCAUGAAGAUAAGGUGUUUGUAAGAAAGUCUAGGUGAAAUGAUUAUGUAGGUUGAAAAACAGCAAAAAGAUAUACUGAUGAUGAUGAAAUUGAUGUGUUUUCUUUUCCAAAAAUCUCUGUCUUCAAACUUGUACCCACUUUCCUUUUGAUGAUGAAUCAGAUCAGAAUCUUCUUUUUUCUCUCUCUAGGGUUUGAAGGAAGAAGAGGAAAG
rnacentral:misc_RNA from 1 species